GGUGAUAUGGCUGAGCUUAAGCAAUAAAUUGUAAAUUUAUUUACGAAUGUUGAAUUCUAUUACCA
rnacentral:tRNA from 1 species